AUAUAGAAAGCGAAAUGUUUGCGUACGGUUUCGGCCCGUAAGUUAGGAGUGUAAAUCUCCUUCUAUAUU
rnacentral:tRNA from 1 species